rnacentral:rRNA from 1 species
CUGGCUCAGGAUGAACGCUAGCGGCAGGCUUAAUACAUGCAAGUCGAGGGGCAGCAGGACGGUAGCAAUACCGUUGCUGGCGACCGGCAAACGGGUGCGGAACACGUACGCAACUUACCCAUAACUGGGGGAUAGCCCGGGGAAACCCGGAUUAAUACCUCGUAACACCAUGAAGUGGCAUCGCUUUAUGGUUAUAGCUCCGGCGGUUAUGGAUGGGCGUGCGCCUGAUUAGGUAGUUGGCGGGGUAACGGCCCACCAAGCCUGCGAUCAGUAACUGGUGUGAGAGCACGACCAGUCACACGGGCACUGAGACACGGGCCCGACUCCUACGGGAGGCAGCAGUAAGGAAUAUUGGUCAAUGGACGCAAGUCUGAACCAGCCAUGCCGCGUGAAGGAUGAAGGUCCUCUGGAUUGUAAACUUCUUUUAUAUGGGACGAAACCCGGGCAUUCCUGCCCGAUUGACGGUACCAUAGGAAUAAGCACCGGCUAACUCCGUGCCAGCAGCCGCGGUAAUACGGAGGGUGCAAGCGUUAUCCGGAUUCACUGGGUUUAAAGGGUGCGUAGGAGGGUAGGUAA